GUUCCUCUUCAGUCCUGGGUUUAUUUUUGUACUCUUCCUUAAUGCAUCUGUAAGAGAUUAUUCUUUUAUAUGAUUGACUCAAAGUUUGCUGAGGAACAAGUCCAGGCAAGUCCUGGGCAAAGGCAGAGAAAUCUUUUGUCUUGAGGACACUGAUGGACAGGUCCUGGCUAAGGAUUGUGAAAUCCUCUAAGGAGCACAGAUGGACAAGGCCAGGGGCAACGAGGGAGAGAUAAGCUGUUGCUAAUGGCCAGGAAAUGGUCUUUUGUGUGGACUUAUCUCAAGGAAAAUGGCCAUCUCAGGAGGUAUGCACAGGACUCUUGCUCAAGCACCCAGGAAUGUCACGUAGGCAGCAGAAAAUGGAGGAUAAAAGAGGGUCCAACAACCACGGCGAUGUGGAGACUGAUCUCUACCACAAGGUAGAGGUUUAUCUCUCACCUCGACAGACUUGAGGGGUUCUCUGCCAUCUGAUCUCUCAUUGCAACGUGGAGGCUGAUCUCUCACCGCAACACAGAGGCUGAUCUCUCAUGAUCUCUCACCACGACACGAGCUUCCUGCCUUCAGAUCCUUCUCUACGGACCGUUUGCUGACGGACUUCCCUGGGCCUGCUACCUGAGACCUGCUGCUUCCUCCCUGACCUGCACCCUCUCGUUGCCCAAGACCGGCCCCGCUGCUCCUGCCCUUCGGCCUCGGACCGUCGGAACAUCGUGCAACGGGACUGCUGCCGGAUCCUGGUGGUGACUAUCCCCGCUUUACGCGAUUCUUGCCUCUUUCUAUCUUUUCUAUCGCUCGCCUUCCCUUCCCCAUCACCCCAAUCCUUAAUAGUGUCCGUCCUCCCCUUUCCCCAUCUCCCUUAUUAACAUUUGUAAUAAACUGGUCGGACCAACAUUUGAACCGCUGUUUCUUAAUCUCACGCUGGGCAUACAUAUUUCAAAGAACCUCCUCUCCCUCCUAUAAAUUGGAGUGAGACAAUGGUUUGUCUUUUUGUUGCUGUUG
rnacentral:lncRNA from 1 species